GCGAUGAAGGCCUUCGGGUUGUAAAGCACUUUUGGCAGGAAAGAAACGUGCACUGGGCUAAUACCCCGUGAAACUGACGGUACCUGCAGAAUAAGCACCGGCUAACUACGUGCCAGCAGCCGCGGUAAUACGUAGGGUGCAAGCGUUAAUCGGAAUUACUGGGCGUAAAGCGUGCGCAGGCGGUUCGGAAAGAAAGAUGUGAAAUCCCAGAGCUUAACUUUGGAACUGCAUUUUUAACUACCGGGCUAGAGUGUGUCAGAGGGAGGUGGAAUUCCGCGUGUAGCAGUGAAAUGCGUAGAUAUGCGGAGGAACACCGAUGGCGAAGGCAGCCUCCUGGGAUAACACUGACGCUCAUGCACGAAAGCGUGGGGAGCAAACAGGAUUAGAUACCCUGGUAGUCCACGCCCUAAACGAUGUCAACUAGCU
rnacentral:rRNA from 1 species